rnacentral:rRNA from 1 species
AGGACGAACGCUGGCGGCGUGCCUAACACAUGCAAGUCGAGCGGGAUCCAUCCAGUGGCAACACUGGGGAAGAUCUAGCGGCGAACGGGUGAGUAACACGUGAGAAACCUGCCCUGAAGUCUGGGAUAACCCGAGGAAACUCGAGCUAAUACCGGAUACCUUCCGACGGUCGCAUGGCUGUUGGAAGAAAGAUUCAUCGCUUCAGGAGGGUCUCGCGGCCUAUCAGCUUGUUGGCGGGGUAACGGCCCACCAAGGCGUCGACGGGUAGCUGGUCUGAGAGGACGAUCAGCCACACUGGGACUGAGACACGGCCCAGACUCCUACGGGAGGCAGCAGUGGGGAAUAUUGCGCAAUGGGCGAAAGCCUGACGCAGCAACGCCGCGUGCGGGAUGAAGGCCUUCGGGUUGUAAACCGCUUUCAGUGGGACGAAUUGACGGUACCACAGAAGAAGCCCGGCCAACUACGUGCCAGCAGCCGCGGU